AUACGUAGGUGGCAAGCGUUGUCCGGAAUUAUUGGGCGUAAAGCGCGCGCAGGCGGGAUAUCAAGUCUGUCUUAAAAGUGCGAGGCUCAACCUCGUGAGGGGACAGAAACUGGUAUUCUUGAGUGUCGGAGAGGAAAGUGGAAUUCCAAGUGUAGCGGUGAAAUGCGUAGAGAUUUGGAAGAACACCAGUGGCGAAGGCGACUUUCUAGACGAUGUCUGACGCUGAGGCGCGAAAGCGUAGGGGAGC
rnacentral:rRNA from 1 species